GUUUUAUUUACUUCCUCUUUCUUAUUUCGAUGAAUUUCAUAGCGCGCUUUUCGUAGAAUUAAGGAUUUACAUGUACUCGUGAACUGAACUGGACUUAGUGCCGAUAAACAUGGGAUACUGAAAAGAAUCUGCACAAAUCAAUGCAUUUGCAGAGGAAUACAUGGCGUACUGGUUAAUUAAAUCCAUACCGAAAGAAAGACAAUGCAGCAUCAUACCGGAAACAUCUAGAUUAUAUCUACACCAUAACGAGAACCAACCGUUUGUAAAGAGAAAUGAAAGAUCAAUAUUGAUAACAUGAUCUUUCAUGUGCCGCAAAAGAAGUCAUAUCAACACCACGGCUCGUUACGGGAAACACAAAAGGAUCGUGAGAAAAAUAUACAGCAAAGGAUUUAGCAGUCAGUAAUUUACUCUAAUUUGAGUCGAUAAUUUCUGUCAGAUAGGAAAAUAUUUUUAACGUAAAAGAAGCCUGAAAUGACACAAAUGCUGCUUCAUAUACAAUCCACGUGAAUGUAUGCCAUUUAAGGUAUAUUUUACGCAACAUUGUAAAAAUAUAAUGUACGUUGAAACUUGACAGUUACUAUUACGUUUAAAUGAGAAACUGAAUCACCCAAAUUUAUUUCUCUUCUUCUUAGUCAUCUCUGAACCUUAGUAAAUCUGGAAAUUAAGUGCAGGAAUAUUUAAUUUCAUAUGAAAAUUGCAUUCGUGUUUAGUUAUAUUAUGUCCGGUUUAUUCUUUUUGGACGACAUGUUGCGUGUUGGAACGUAAGGUUAGGUAACAGUUGGGACGACCAUCAUACGUGAUAUGACAUGAAGAAAUGCUCAUUUCAAUAUCAAAUGGAAUUAUACUCAUUCAGACUUGAGAAAUUAUCGUAAUAUGUUUCAGUGAAUGAUUUUAAACGUGUGAAAUCAAAUAUAAAGGAAUACAUUUGCUUCCCUGAAUUGGAUUAUAAUACGGAUAUUUAGCCGCAGAGGUCACAGCCUGCUGAUGAAGAUCCACAGCUUAUACAGAGGUCAGGGUUGAGCUGUGUGCUGAUUCAAAAGAUGCUAAUGACAGCGGAUAAUCCAUUCUGAGUUGUUUCACCAACGUUUCAAAACACUAGUGGAACUGAAGGCAGUACAUGUUCUGGUGUCUGGCCUGUGAUUUUAAGUAUAGUAUUAUUGACUAAGUUAGUCUCACUGUUUCCUAAAUUUGCAAACUUAAUAAUAAUUCAAACCAUGCUAGAAUUUAUUUUACUCAAAAGGAAAUAAAGGAGAACAAUAAAUAAAAUCAUGCUUGCAAAAUAUACAGAAACCAAUUUGAUACCCUGUUGUUCCGGAAAAGCAGUGAAAUUAUAGAUGAAAGUAUCUAUAUUAGAUGAAAAUGUAGCAAAUAUGUUUCACUCAAGUGAAAAAAAAAUACGAUGAAAAUAUGAGUUUUAUUUCAUCAAUAUUUACUGAUAUUUCAUUAGCAUUUAACUCGUGUGUUUCAAUUAUCCAAUAUAAAAAAUAUUUUGAACUGAACAAAGUAAUUAACUGAGAUAUAAUUUACCUUGAUACUCGAAGCGCUCAGGUAUCCAAUAUACUGAUUAUCUGGUUUACAAAAUCGGCCUUAAAUAUGACGGAAGUAAAUUAGGUGAAUAAGAUUGCUGUAAUUCAUGAUAAUCUCACCCGACUUAUGACGCAACCCUGUCAAAAAAAAAACAACAAAAAAUACAAUGUUUCAAAAAAUAUAAAAGUUAAUUAGUUUUCAUUAACCAGAGUACCUAGAUAAGUAUGUUAGACACACAACAGAAACAAAUUUAAAGAAAAAAAUCUGUUUGAAAAAAAAGUUUGACAUUUCUACAAGGUAGAAUGUGAACAGUUAGAGGUACAUGUGUUUAAGACAAAAAAGCAUAACUAAACAAGGUGACCUUUAUAGAAAGUAUCUGCUACUUGUGUAUAUAUGCUACGAAUAUUAUUGGUCUGUCAGGUAUAAUUUCCAUUUAUGAUCCUUAACAUGUAUAUAUCAGUAAAUUCUACUUUCACUUUCAGUUUGAACUGUGUUUCCUGUUUUUUAAUUUACAUUUUUUUGCAGCACCUUCAACCCCCAGACUUCCUGAAUAACCAAUUUGUUAUGUUUAUAAGACAAUAGUGUUGUAGGUUUGUAAUAUAUCAUAACUUGAGACAGGGCUAUAUAAAAACUAUUUUUGACAUAAGCAUGGUAACAAAACAUAUUUUUGAAACAGAAGUUUCAAAAUCUUUAUGACAGUAUAAUAGCAUUUUAUGAUGGGAAAUUUCCAAGCAGUAGAAUAUAUUUGCAUAUUAAAGCUUUUCCUUCUUUUUCUGUACACUUCUGUCUAUUGUAGAUCUAAAUAGAGACAGAAUAUGAAAUUCCUCUAAAAAACGCUAUUUUUUUUUUGAAAAUCAUUAUGAAAGAAAACGCUAUUUCAGUUGUAAGGCAUCCCUGAAAUGUCACAGAUUUUGAUGAUGGUUCAAAAUGUUCAUACCCUGAAUGGAGGCACUUCAUUUUGACUUUUGAUUUUGACCAAGUAUUGGUUUUGUUUGAAACUUUCACUUAUGAUAAUUUGCAUGCCUAGCUUAGAAUAUAAAGCACUAGACUAUGAAUCAAGAAAAGUUGUGAGUUUGAUCCCUUGGUUAUGCAUGCUAUGCAUGCAAUGUCUUUAACAGUUUGAGAGAAGAACAUGUCAGAAGUCAUUUGUCUAACAUUUCUUACUCAUUUACAAUGGGAAGUUGUCUGUGAGCACAAGUCAUUUCUAGUAAAGAAUGCAGGAACACUUGAUAGGUUAACUGAACACCAUUACAUGACUGAAAUACUAUGGCAAAAUUGAAUCAUAUUGAAACAAAAUACAAAAAAAAGGAAAUUUCGCUCGAUAAAUGCAUAACAAAAAUAAAAUUUGUGAUAGUGUACUGUAUAUAACAUAGAAAAAACAAUUCGUUUUCAGAUUGAUGUACCUCCUCCUGAUGUACCUCCUUGAAUACAGUAUAUCUGCCAUGUGAAUGGAACAAGCUGCAAGAUAUACUGUGGAAGUGGGGGCCUAUGUAAAAAACAUUUUAUUUAAAGAAUAUAAGAAAUCUGACACAAAACUACUAAAAAGGUGCACAGGGGACAUUUUUGUGUGUAUAGACUUCCAUCAAGAUUCUGAGAGUUGAUUUAUUAAACAAAAAAUAGCCAUAUUGUGUUUCAAAGCUGAAAAGAUUAGGAUCUUAGGAAAACAUUAGGACUCAAGAAAAGUAAUGGGGUUAUGAAACUGUAGUGUUCAACAUUUAAAUCGAGUUCUUUUGUUGUUUUUUAACUACAUUUGUGAAGAGGGUUCCAUCACAAGAUUUGACAUAUUGGUAAGAAUGAGAUGUAGUUUAUGAAAACAAGUAUUUUGCUUUAAAUGUGCAGACUUUAAGUUACAUAAAAAAAUCAAAGCUGUAACAAUAAAGCUUGGUUAAAAAACACACACAGUUGAAAACUAGCCUUCAUGUAAAUGCCACACUUAUUUGGUGCACAGGGGACACAAUUAGCUAUAUAAUUUAAUAUAACUACCCUUAGUCAUGUGCAUCAUUGAAAGUAUAUGUUACAGUAGUACUUUUCUAACCAACUGAUAAACAUUCAUUUUUUGGAAAGUUUGUUGCAUAAAGUUAAAGGAGUUUUUUUAUGAAAUUUACAUGGUGUAGGCCUUUUAGCUGUUUACUUUAAAAAAAAGACCUUGUAUUUUUAAUUUCUUAUGUAAUUAAGUCAUUUCUAAUGUUUUCUUUUUUAACUGACCCUGAGUUGCAGUUCUUGUUAACUACAAAAUCAUCUACUAUUAUUGGUUAACUAAUUAUUGGAAUAGUGAGUAUUUUAACAUUGUUUCAUCACAAUGCACUCCUUUAUGGGAAUAGGGAGGCAAUAGCAGUAUUAUAGCACAUUUAACUAUUAAACUAAUUAUUAAACUGCCUUAGACACACCUGAAAAUCAGAUAAAUUUGAAAAGACAUGCAAAGUUUUAAAAAUGUUUUUGGAUUUAAGUUAUUAUAUUUUCAUACUUUUAUCUUCAGUUGGUUAUAAAUGCAACUGAUUGUUUUUAUCAACAUCUGUUGUCAGGUGUGUUUCGUCCCAAGUUAAUUUUGUGACUCAUACAGUGUUUCCAGGACUCGACAGUAAGAGAAACACCAUCAACUUGAGUCAACAACAUAACUUUUAACAUGUGAACAGAAGUUAAUUAUAAACAUUUUCAAAGGUACAUAGUGAACUGGAACAGUAAAUGAAAAUUAUACUGAAAUAGAUGAAAACCUGUACACUUUAGAAUUUCAUAGUUCUUUUAAAAAAUCAAAUUUAUCUGAGAAGACAAUGACAGUGAAAUAUAAAAUUUUACUUAAAAUUAUUGUUGUAAAUCAUACUGAAAUCGAACAACUUACUUGUAAUAAAAAAAUUAUCAAUAGCAUGGAGUUAAGAUUUUCUGAUAGUUUUGCAAAGAUAUGAAAAACAUUGUACAUUAAAUGUUCAAUCAAUAUUUCAGAUCAAAUUAUGAAAUGCCAUAUUUAUUUAUAAAUGAAUAAAACUGUUGUCAACUUAUACAAAUUUCUGUUAACUUUAAUAAAUUAUUAGAA